GGGCCCGCACAAGCGGUGGAGCAUGUGGUUCAAUUCGACGCAACGCGAAGAACCUUACCUGGGCUCGAACGGCUCGUGAACGACUGUGGAAACACGGUUUUCCCGCAAGGGACUAGAGUCGAGGUGCUGCAUGGCUGUCGUCAGCUCGUGUCGUGAGAUGUUGGGUUAAGUCCCGCAACGAGCGCAACCCUUGUCCUGUGUUACCAUGCCGAAAGGCGGCACUCGCAGGAGACCGCCAGCGAUAAGCUGGAGGAAGGUGGGGAUGACGUCAAGUCCUCAUGGCCUUUAUGUCCAGGGCUACACACGUGCUACAAUGGGCGGUACAAAGCGCUGCUAAAUCGCAAGAUGGAGCCAAUCGCAGAAAGCCGCUCUCAGUUCGGAUUGCAGGCUGCAACUCGCCUGCAUGAAGCUGGAAUCGCUAGUAAUGCUAUAUCAGAAUGAUAGCGUGAAUACGUUCCCGGGCCUU
rnacentral:rRNA from 1 species